ACCUAAGUAGUUAAAUUAUAAUUUAAUAUUGAAGCUAUUGAGUUAGGACUUUGUCCUCUUAGGUA
rnacentral:tRNA from 1 species